rnacentral:rRNA from 1 species
UACAGAGGGUGCGAGCGUUGUCCGGAAUUACUGGGCGUAAAGGGUUCGUAGGUGGCUUGCUAAGUCAGACGUGAAAUCCCUCAGCUUAACUGGGGAACUGCGUCUGAGACUGGUGAGCUUGAGUGCAGGAGAGGAACGCGGAAUUCCAGGUGUAGCGGUGAAAUGCGUAGAUAUCUGGAGGAACACCGGUGGCGAAGGCGGCGUUCUGGACUGCUACUGACACUGAGGAACGAAAGCCAGGGGAGCAAACGGG